rnacentral:rRNA from 1 species
GGACUACCGGGGUUUCUAAUCCUGUUUGCUCCCCUUGCUUUCGCGCCUCAGCGUCAGUCAUAGCCCAGAAAACCGUCUUCACCACCGGUGUUCUUCCACAUAUCUACGCAUUUCACCGCUACACGUGGAAUUCCGUUCCCCCUAGCUACCCUCUAGCUCAAAUGUCUCAAAUGCAGCUACGAGGUUGAGCCUCGUAAUUUCACAUCUGACUCUCUAAACCGCCUGCGCGCCCUUUACGCCCAGUAAUUCCGAUCAAUGCUUGCACCCUCCGUAUUACCGCGGCUGCUGGCAC